rnacentral:misc_RNA from 1 species
AAAGAAGUGGUCAACAAAUUAAUCCCAGACAGCAUUGGCAAGGAUAUUGAGAAAGCCUGCCAAGGAAUUUAUCCCCUUCACGAUGUUUUCAUCCGUAAGGUCAAAGUGCUGAAAAAACCUAAGUUCGACAUUGGUAAAUUAAUGGAAAUGCACGGAGAAGGCGGCAGCAAGACCGUCAUCACAGACUCCGGCGAAACUGUGGCGCGGCCCGAGGGAUACGAACCUCCAGUCCAACAAUCUGUAUAAACUGCCAUGGUGAAACUGUAAUAAAUAUGUACAGUU